GAAAUGCGAUACGUAAUGUGAAUUGCAGAAUUCAGUGAAUCAUCGAGUCUUUGAACGCACAUUGCGCCCCCUGGUAUUCCGGGGGGCAUGCCUGUCCGAGCGUCAUUGCUGCCCUCAAGCACGGCUUGUGUGUUGGGCCCCCGUCCCCCCCCCAAGGGGACGGGCCCGAAAGGCAGCGGCGGCACCGUGUCCGGUCCUCGAGCGUAUGGGAAGCAACUUUUUGUCACCCGCUCCUGUAGGUCCGGCUGGCGGCCUGCCCAACCCCAACCUUUUUUUCAACCAGGUUGACCUCGGAUCAGGUAGGGAUACCCGCUGAACUUAAGC
rnacentral:misc_RNA from 1 species